CCCGAUCCUAAUGAUCUGCAUGUUCCUAAUGUGGGUGCUGUUAUACAUCUACACGCAUCCAAUUGUCUACAACGCCUGGUCAGACUUCACUCUGAAACACUAGUCAUAUUCUGGUCGGCAAACAAUGAAACUACUAAAAAAAAAAUAGACGCAAUCAAAGAACAAUGAUAUUUACUGUUUUAUAAUCAGGACGAACCAAGUUACCAACUAGACAGGUCCAGAAUUUUUUGGGACAGUUGUGGCAACCGAUUGGAACCAGAAUUUGUAUUUGCAAAACAGCCUGAAAGUAUACCAUAAUUUAUAAAUAAAUCCACUCUUGAAGUGGCUGCUACGAAACCAUGCAAUUUGCCUGCUACGAAACUAUUUAAGGUGCUGGCUAUGCAACUAUGCUCUUUGGGUGCUAUGAAACUCUGGAAGCCGGCGCCUAUGAAACUAUGAAAAUGGCUGCAAUGACGCAACUGAAGCUUCUUGAACCUGCUGCUACUUGGACCUUGGCUCUGAUGCUAUGCUAUGCUACUUUCCCAGUCGGUCAAUUGUGGCGUUUUGAUACCUCAAGAUCCUGUCUGAUCGUUCAGGUGCAAAUGCCUUGUGGCGGGAACCGAAUGGUUUGGAAAUAACAUAAAAAAAAGGUUUGCAGAGCUUGCAAUCGGUGUGCCGGACGGUCUCUCCGCCGGACCGAUAGCGUACCGUCGCCGUCACCGUCACCCCGUCGACAGACGCCCUGGAAGAGAGAUUGGCGAUAACCCCCGCCAUAGGCAGCGGCCCCGUUGCUGUUGGGUAAAUGGAAUCGACUUUGGUUUUUCUUGUUUCAUUUAUUUUGUAACGCUUUCAUUUAAUUGCUAAAUAACCUAAAAUUCGCCGUAAACUAAAUGGUUUUCACUUCAUAAAAAUGUAAUUUACUAUAUAAAAAUACACAGUUGUGUUGCAAUGGAAGCAUAAAUAGGCAUGUUUCAGCAUGUAACAAAAUUCAUGUACAGUUGUGUUCGAUCCUGAUCGGUUGUUGUCUUUUCUCGUUGCUGUCUUUUGUGCGGAAGAAAUCUAUGAACUAUCUUGGUAUAUAGAUUGUAUGAUUACAUAAAUAACGAACAAGGCAUUGUAGUAUAUAAUAAGUAUAUUGUAUAAAUAAUGAAUAAUUCAACUGGCAUUCAAAAACUCUUUCAUGUUCCUCUCUGAUAUUGAUUAUGUGGGUCAUUCCAGAGUUCUCUCUCAUUCCAGAGUUCUCUCUCUUUCUCGCUUCCGAUUAGCAUAGUAUUCAUUAUUACUUUAAAGGGAAGACGAUGUGAGGCGUAAGGCGUAGAGUAAAGGGUUCCAUUUGAUAAGGCCACAUAUUGACGGUCGUACGAUUUUGUUUUGUGUUUCUGUGCUUGUUUGUUGUACAAAGGGAAGAGCAUGUUUUUAUAAAAAGAAUUAUCGUAUAGUAAUAACCAAAAGCUGAGGGUUUCAGUUACGUCUAAGUUUAAGUAUAAAUACAGAAAAAAAAAAAAAAACAGUAAUUUAUAUUGGUUUGUUUACAUAGUAUCAUUAUGUGGUAGACCUUUGCACUCUGCCGUAACAAGUGGGGAUUGAUUGGGUAGAUAGUAAUUAAAUACAAA